rnacentral:rRNA from 1 species
AGAAUCAACGCUGGCGGCGUGCCUAACACAUGCAAGUCGAACGCGAAAACCCCGCAAGGGGUUAGUAGAGUGGCAAACGGGUGAGUAACACGUGGGUGACCUGCCUUCGAGUGGGGGAUAACGUCCCGAAAGGGACGCUAAUACCGCAUGACAUCCUGCUUUUGGAAAAGCGGAGAUCAAAGCUGGGGAUUCGCAAGAACCUGGCGCUUGAAGAGGGGCCCGCGCCUGAUUAGCUAGUGGUAGGUAACGCCUACCAAGGCGACGAUCAGUA